AUACUUACCUGGCAGCAGAGAUACCAUGAUCACAAAGAUGGUUUUCCCAGGACGAGGCGUAUCUAUUGCACAAGAUACAGAAGGGCUGCCCAGAAUGCACUGGAAUUAGAAUGUAAGUAAACUCUGAUUGUGUUGACUAAGAUUUGGGGAUCAUUGUUACUGCAUUAUAGC